rnacentral:rRNA from 1 species
UACGGGGGGAGCAAGCGUUGUUCGGAUUUACUGGGCGUAAAGGGCGCGUAGGCGGUCAGCACAAGUCAGUUGUGAAAUCUCCGGGCUUAACUCGGAAAGGUCAACUGAUACUGUGCGACUAGAGUGCGGAAGGGGCAACUGGAAUUCUCGGCGUAGCGGUGAAAUGCGUAGAUAUCGAGAGGAACACCUGCGGCGAAGGCGGGUUGCUGGGCCGACACUGACGCUGAUGCGCGAAAGCCAGGGGAGCAAACGGG